rnacentral:pre_miRNA from 1 species
GGAUAGCACUUUUUGUUAUCUCAGACUAAUAACACAAUGACAUGUGGGAUCAUUUUUUCACAUGUUAUUGUGUUAUUGACCGGAAAUAGCAAAAUAGUGCUAUUU